rnacentral:lncRNA from 10 species
CGGGACUGCUCUCUGCGAAUUUGAGGACGCUCCCCUCUGCAGAAGUCGUCAGCACUGUGGAUGCAGGUUCCUUUCCAUCAGAACUUCCCGAUGAAGAUUUUCUCUCUUCCUAAGUCCUGUGGGAAACCAUGUUGUGAGAGACCCAUGUAUGGCUGAACUAAACCUGUGUGCAUGUGAGUGAAGCAGAGCCUCAAGCUCCAGAUGGAUCUUGAGAUGGCUGCAGCCUGGCUUGACUGAAACCUCAUGGAUGACCUCGAGCCAGAACAACCGGGCUAAACUGCUUCCAGAUUCCUGACCCUCAGAAACAGUGAAAUAAUAAACGCUUGUUGUUUUAAACUGCUAAAUGUUGGGGUAAUUGGUUGUGUAAUAACAGAUAAACUAAUAAAC